CGGGAAUCAUUGCAUUUGAGAUCAUCGCAGUGUCAAGGGGGCAUAACCUAGAGAAUCUCUUGGAUCCAGAACAGGAGUUUAAGAGGGAAACAAGGAUAACACUGAGAGGAGGCGCGAA